rnacentral:rRNA from 1 species
UACGGGGGGGGCAAGCGUUGUUCGGAAUUACUGGGCGUAAAGGGCUCGUAGGCGGCCAACUAAGUCGGAUGUGAAAUCCCCAGGCUCAACUUGGGAACUGCAUCCGAUACUGGAUGGCUUGAAUCCGGGAGAGGGAUGCAGAAUUCCAGGUGUAGCGGUGAAAUGCGUAGAGAUCGGGAGGAACAUCAGUUGCGAAGGCGGCUCUCUGGACCAGCACUGACACUGAGGCACGAAAGCGUGGGGAGCAAACAGG